rnacentral:ncRNA from 1 species
UCAACGGAUAAAAGUUACUCUAGGGAUAACAGGUUGAUCUUCCCCAAGAGUUCACAUCGAUGGGAAGGUUUGGCACCUCGAUGUCGGCGCUUCACCACCUGGGGCGGUAGUACGUUCCAAGGGUUGGAUUGUUCGCCCAUUAAAGCGGUACGUGACCUAGGUUCAGAACGUCGUGAGACAGUUCGGUCCAUAUCUGGUGUGGGUGUUAGAGCAUUGAGAGGACCUUUCCCUAGUACGAGAGGACCAGGAAGGAUGCACCUCUGGUGUACCAGUUAUCGUGCCCAUGGUAGACGCUGGGUAGCCAAGUGCAAAGCGGAUAACUACUGAAAGCAUAUAAGUAGGAAGCCCAUCCCAAGAUGAGUGCUCUCCUAUUCUUACUUCCCUGAGAGCCCUAGUCAC